rnacentral:rRNA from 1 species
GUGAGGAAUAUUGGUCAAUGGGCGAAAGCCUGAACCAGCCAUGUCGCGUGAAGGAUGAAGGUCCUAUGGAUUGUAAACUUCUUUUGCAGGAGGGUAAAGUGAGCUACGUGUAGUUCAUUGCAAGUACCCUGCGAAUAAGCAUCGGCUAACUCCGUGCCAGCAGCCGCGGUAAUACGGAGGAUGCGAGCGUUAUCCGGAUUUAUUGGGUUUAAAGGGUGCGUAGGCGGACUAAUGAGUCAGCGGUGAAAUUUUGCGGCUCAACCGUAAAACUGCAGUUGAAAAUUUUAGUCUUGAGUGCGGUAGAGGUAGGCGGAAUGUGUGGUGUAGCGGUGAAAUGCUGAGAUAUCACACAGAACACCGAUUGCGUAGGCAGCUUACUGGAGCGCAACUGACGCUGAGGCACGAAAGCGUGGGGAUCGAACAGGAUUAGAUACCCCUGUAGUCC